rnacentral:lncRNA from 1 species
UAGUCUAUUCUAACUGAUGAGCUUCCAGCCAGUAAGAGACACUGUUCCAAACGAAAAUGGUGGAUGAUGCUGAGGAUUCACACACACACACACACACACACACACACACACACACACACACACACAGGAACAUACAUACACAGGUACACUUACUACUUGUGUGGGUGACCUGUGUUGUGUCAGAGAAUUAAAUAGCCUUUGGUCAGGAGUACAAAACUGGACACCAUAAGACAAAUUUUCUCAGAAUAUUCUUUCCUGGGAGGCAAUGUUAAUAUUCAUAUUUUCAUCUUGCAGCAUUUGCCACAUGUACAUCGGGCAGAUAUGAAGUUGUAGUGCAGUUAGAUACCGGAAAGGGAUGUAAAUGAGUUGUGACCAGUUCUAGCUAGUGGUGGGUCAGCCUGCAGGGGGACCCGCCUGAGUGCGGGAACAGCUGAUCGACACCAUUCAAGCCACAGGCAGAGAGGGAAGGGCCGCUUUGAAGAAGCCUGCCUUAUGGGUUUAUUCAUCUCCUAAGGAGGUGGGAGGCCAGCUGGAGACAAAGGACAAACACCUGUGUGUCUGAGACAAGGUUGAGAUGAACACACACACCACACACACACACACACACACACACACACACACACACACACACACACACACAGUAUCAGGAUAGACUUGGCAGAGAAAUCUGACAUAAUUCUUUCUGAUGUUACCUAAGAACAAAUAAUCUUUAAUCACAGCUAUAGGUUUGGAAGCUUGUUUCAAGUGUUUUCCUUCUCCCCUAAACAGAGAGCCCUCUGUCCUGUGUUAGUCUGAUCUAUGACAGGAUCCCUGUAGGAGGGAGAGGCUGGAAGACUUGCCUAAGGUUACCAAACAGUACCCAAUGACAAAUGUGCCAAUAGCAUUCUGAAAGAUUUGCAUAGUUCUCUCUCACCAUAUUGUUCCAAUCUCACCAGAGGAAACCAUUCUGAUAUUCCCUAAUGGAGUUACUACGCUUUUUAUUCUUUAAUUUUACUGCUAAGAGAAACAAAGCUAAGAAAGGCUGAGUGUCUUGCCUUCCUUAACAGAGGUGGGAUCCUAUUGUUAGCAGUCAGAGUCUCUUGUAAUAUUUGACUUUAGGCAUGUGUUCUAAAACUGACAGUUGGAUGUGGUCUACAGAUUAUCCGUUAAAGCUGUAAAGUGCCUUAUGGCACAUGUUUAACCAAGUAAAAUUAUUUUCCCCAGCUCAUGCCAUCCUGACAGUUUGCAAAAACCAUCUUCACCUUCCUCCUUGCCCCAUAAAAAGUGGCUGCAGCUAUUUUUAAAUCCAAGGUUUGUAGAAGGGAAUGUAGAUUAUAAACCUAGUUUAGUUGAAUUUAUUCAGAAAUUUGUCACACUGGAUAUGGACUUUCUUGAGUCCAAGUAAAAGGAAAAUGGAAGAUCAUCAAAUCUCUCUCUCUCUCUCUCUCUCUCUCUCUCUCUCUCUCUCUCUCUCUCUCUCUCUCUCUCUCGCUCUCUCUCCCUCCCUCCCUCCUCCCUUCUCCUCAUCCUCUGACCAUACCCUUUCAGGUUUAUACCAGACUAGUUGCAAAGAACCAGAAGGAAAAGCCCAUGUUUCUUGCUCUCAGUUAAGGAGGUGGCUACAUUGACAUAGGAAUAGCAACGUCAAUGAAUCUUUGUUGCAAUAGUGUUUACUAGCAAAACAGCUCCAAGUCAAAACAAAUAUCAGCACAAAGAAAACCGUGUAACAAAAUACUUGUCGAACUUGUACAAAUGAGUGACCUAUUUAAAAAGAACUCCAAACGCAGGAACUCUUUUUAUCAGCCCUUAACUUCUGUAGGCAACAAGAUACAGUGUAUCCAUUACCUCAUUUUUGUUUAGGUCUUGUCUUAGUUAGGGCCAGGGUUUCUAUUACUGAGAUGAAACACCAUGACUAAAAAAGCGAGUUGAGGAGGGAACUGUUUAUUCCACUUACACUUCCAGGAAGUCAGGACAGGAAUGCAAGCAGGGUGGAACUUGGAGGCAAGAGCUAAUGCAGAGGCCACGAAGGGGUGCUACUUACUGGCCUGCUUCCUGUGGCUUGCUAAACCUGCCUUCUUAUAGAACUCAGGACCCACCAUGGGCUAGGCCUUCCUCCACUGAUCCCUACUGAGAUGACUAAAUGCCUUACAGCAGGAUCUCAUGUAGGCAUUUCCUCCACUGAGACUCCUUUCUUUCUGAUGACUCUCGAUUGUGUCAAAUUGACACAUAAAACCAGGCAGUACAGGUCUCUUAGGAGAUUUGUCUGAAUGUUACAUUUAUUUUUAUAACUUCGGGAUAAAUUCAAUAGUACUGCUAUUUUUCUGUCCUGAUAAAAUAAUGAAAAGAUUCUAAUAAAAUAUGCUUAUAGGUUCUACUGUCUAGUGAAUAAGUAGCAGCAAGCACCACUUUUUUUUUAAAAUUUUAUUCUAUGAAAUAAAAGCAACUUAAAUACAGAAGUCUUUAGGACCUAGUCAAAAUUACACAAAGACUGAGAAAAAUUCUACUGUGAUAAUCCUAUCUGCAGGGCAGCUCCGUGGCCUACUUCCACUCCACGAUUAACAGCAAGCCUACUAGUUGUGUAAUGUUGGUAUGUAUCAUGCUCUCCUUUGAUGCUGUACAUUGAUGGGCCCAGGGCUAGGGCCUCAGAACUUUUUAUCUGUGUUAUCUGAGGCAGGAGGCUUCAUCACCUGCCGCCACUAGAUGGUGCUUGUCAUUCUAACAAAGCUUCCUGCAGGAAGUUUUCUCUGUGUCUCUACUAGGACCAUAGGUGGGAAAGAAACUUGAUUAAUAAACUAAAUAGUAAAUGGGUAGGUAGUUCAGAAGGCUAUAAAGCACAGGGAACUAUUGGGCAGAAACCAAACAAGCCAUUACCAGUUAGGAUUAUACUAAUUCCACCAAUCUUUUCUUUCUUUCUUUUUUUCCCCUGGAUAUUCAACCCAGACCUUGCUCCUGUUAUGCAGGCAUUCUACUAUUGAGCUAAAGCCCAGGACCUCUUAUUUCCUUUAUUGUGUUGUUUUAUUGAGACAAGUCUUACAAUAUAUUCCAGGCUGCCUUUGGGCUCACUCUGUAGCCCAGGCUGGCCUGAAGCCCGUCUUCCAUGUUGAAUUACAGGUAUGCUCUACCACACCCAGACUUUUCUGUUUGCUCUUUUCAUCCUCAAACUUUGUGAGCCAUAGGAGAAAAAGAGCAAAUUAAUCUUUCUCUGUGUUUAUAGGAAUCAAAGGUGAUAGGGCAUAUGUUAGGACAAGUUCGGAGGGGGAAAAAAAAACCAAAACCAAAACCAAAAACAAGACGAUCAGUAUUUAUUGUCCUUGCUUGGAAUGGCAAAAGCAAAGGUGACCGACCACACACAGAGUUAAAAAAAAGUUAAUCAUGACCUUUCCAAGGAAAGCACACGAAUCUCUAUUACUGGACAGUAAUCAAUAGGAAAGGAAAUGGAACAUGCCUUUUUAAUUGUGGGAUCGCAAACACCAAGUGGAGAGUGAUAACAGGGCUAGCAGGCUGUCAGCCAAGGCCAAUUCUUUUCUCAUUAAUUUAAGACACAUACCAAAUUUCACUCCACAGUACUCAUUCUCGCCUCCCACCCCCACCCUGCUCACCAGCUCUGUACCCCCUUACAGGGCAAAUUCUUGCCAAUCUUGAUAAUAAGGUGCCUCCAGGGGUUACCUAUCAAUUUGCAUGAAGGGCAUUUUGACGUAUUUUGCAGCCAAGCACAUGGGAAAUGUGUUUCUUGGACUUUUCCUUUCUCAGACAGUCACUAAAGCUGACUAUUCAUGGCUGGUUCACGACUAUAAUGAGAAAUUGCCAGCUAUGUUGAAAUACAUAAUCCACAGCAUGAAAAACUGCUGAUCAGCAGUGGCAAAUUCUUAAUACAAAAGUGAUUUCUUUUUUUUGCUCAUGAGCUUUGGGGUUGCUGAGUCUUGCUGUGUGUUUAGGAGUGACAGUUACUUUAAACAUUAGCCUAGAGACAAAAUAUAAUUGCUCAGGGGGGAUUUAAAGAUCAUGUCUUGUUCCACCUUCACUUCUCAAUUGCCCCUAUCGCUGCCGUAGGUUUUGUAGAAUGUGUGAACAUGAACGUAAGCCAGAAAUGACAACAGCCAAACACAUGACAUUAGUGCAUUUUAAUUUCAGACAUUAGGCAACUUGGGGUGGUUCCCAGUGCUUGCUGAGUGUUGAGUAAGGGUUUUAUACACACCAGCUUUCCCCAAACACAACCUCUGUAUCUGCUUCUCCAACCCCAGGGGAGACACCAUGUAUCUUCUUUAGUUCUAGAUACUGAAGAAAAGG